AUUACCGCGGCUGCUGGCACGUAGUUAGCCGUCCCUUUCUGGGUAGUUACCGUCACUUGAUGAGCUUUCCACUCUCACCAACGUUCUUCUCUACCAACAGAGUUUUACGAUCCGAAAACCUUCUUCACUCACGCGGCGUUGCUCGGUCAGACUUUCGUCCAUUGCCGAAGAUUCCCUACUGCUGCCUCCCGUAGG
rnacentral:rRNA from 1 species